UUCUUAUUGGAUGAUGACUGUCACAUGUCAUGUUCUGAUUGGAUGUCAACUCCAUAAAAGAUAAAAUGCAUUGUUGUUUUUAUUGACUAGUCAGAACAUAACAUGUGUUAGUCAUUAUCC
rfam:Glycine max cultivar Williams 82 chromosome 18, whole genome shotgun sequence.